GAUGAACGCUCGCUCCAGGCUUAACACAUGCAAGUCGAGGGGAAACGACAUCGAAAGCUUGCUUUUGAUGGGCGUCGACCGGCGCACGGGUGAGUAACGCGUAUCCAACCUGCCCAUCACUUGGGAAUAACCUUGCGAAAGUAAGACUAAUACCCAAUGACAUCCCACGAAGACAUCUGAAUGGGAUUAAAGAUUUAUCGGUGAUGGAUGGGGAUGCGUCUGAUUAGCUUGUUGGCGGGGUAACGGCCCACCAAGGCAACGAUCAGUAGGGGUUCUGAGAGGAAGGUCCCCCACAUUGGAACUGAGACACGGUCCAAACUCCUACGGGAGGCAGCAGUGAGGAAUAUUGGUCAAUGGGCGAGAGCCUGAACCAGCCAAGUAGCGUGCAGGAUGACGGCCCUAUGGGUUGUAAACUGCUUUUAUAAGGGAAUAAAGUGGGUCUCGUGAGACUUUUUGCAUGUACCUUAUGAAUAAGGACCGGCUAAUUCCGU
rnacentral:rRNA from 1 species